rnacentral:rRNA from 1 species
AAAGGGUUUGUACUGGUUGUGGAUGGGCUCACGGCCUAUCAGCUUGUUGGUGGGGUAAUGGCCUACCAAGGCGACGACGGGUAGCCGGCCUGAGAGGGUGACCGGCCACACUGGGACUGAGACACGGCCCAGACUCCUACGGGAGGCAGCAGUGGGGAAUAUUGCACAAUGGGCGCAAGCCUGAUGCAGCGACGCCGCGUGAGGGAUGACGGCCUUCGGGUUGUAAACCUCUUUCAGCACGGAAGAAGCGAAAGUGACGGUACGUGCAGAAGAAGCGCCGGCUAACUACGUGCCAGCAGCCGCGGUAAUACGUAGGGCGCAAGCGUUGUCCGGAAUUAUUGGGCGUAAAGAGCUCGUAGGCGGUUUGUCACGUCUGCUGUGAAAGCCCGGGGCUUAACCCCGGGUGUGCAGUGGGUACGGGCAGACUUGAGUGCAGUAGGGGAGACUGGAACUCCUGGUGUAGCGGUGAAAUGCGCAGAUAUCAGGAAGAACACCGAUGGCGAAGGCAGGUCUCUGGGCUGUUACUGACGCUGAGGAGCGAAAGCAUGGGGAGCGAACAGGAUUAGAUACCCUGGUAGUCCAUGCCGUAAACGUUGGGCACUAGGUGUGGGG